rnacentral:rRNA from 1 species
UACGGGGGGGGCAAGCGUUGUUCGGAAUUACUGGGCGUAAAGGGCUCGUAGGUGGCCAACUAAGUCAGACGUGAAAUCCCUCGGCUUAACCGGGGAACUGCGUCUGAUACUGGAUGGCUUGAGUUUGGGAGAGGGAUGCGGAAUUCCAGGUGUAGCGGUGAAAUGCGUAGAUAUUCGCAAGAACACCAGUGGCGAAGGCGGCUCUCUGGACAGUUCCUGACGCUGAGGCGCGAAAGCUAGGGGAGCAAACGGG